rnacentral:rRNA from 1 species
CCUACGUGAGGCAGCAGUGAGGAAUAUUGGUCAAUGGCCGGAAGGCUGAACCAGCCAUGCCGCGUGAAGGUCAGUGCCCUAUGGGCGUUAAACUUCUUUUGUGCGGGAGAAAUAAUGGUCACGUGUGGCCAGACGAGAGUACCGUACGAAUAAGCAUCGGCUAACUCCGUGCCAGCAGCCGCGGUAAUACUGGGGAUGCAAGCGUUAUCCGGAUUUAUUGGGUUUUAAGGGUGCGUAGGCUGUGAGGUAAGUCAGCGGUGAAAUGCCCCCGCUCAACGGGGUGAAGGGCCAUUGAUACUGCCUGGCUGGAGUGCGGAUGACGUAGGAGGAAUGUGGGGUGUAGCGGUGAAAUGCAUAGAUAUCACACAGAACACCGAUUGCGAAGGCAUCUCACGAAUCCGCGAUUGACGCUGAUGCACGAAAGCGUGGGUAUCAAACAGGAUUAGAUACCCUUGUAGUC